UUCGGAUAGGGGGCUGCAACUCGACCCCUUGAAGCCGGAAUUGCUAGUAAUCGCGGGUCAGCUAUACCGCGGUGAAUACGUUCUCAAGUCUUGUACUCAAAAUGAAAUGCGCU
rnacentral:ncRNA from 1 species